GCGGGAGUAACUCAGCGGUAGAGUUCCUGCCUUCCAAGCAGGCUGUCGUGGGUUCGAAUCCCAUCUCCCGCUCCA
rnacentral:tRNA from 1 species